UCCGGUUUGGCACCGGCAGUCCUCCCAGAGUCCUCGGCAUGACCCGGUAGCAACUGGGAGCGGGGGUUGCGCUCGUUGCGGGACUUAACCCAACAUCUCACGACACGAGCUGACGACAGCCAUGCAGCACCUGUCUAGGGACUCCGAAGAGGGGGUCUCGUUUCUGAGACCUUUCCCCUAGAUGUCAAGCCCAGGUAAGGUUCUUCGCGUCGCAUCGAAUUAAGCCGCAUGCUCCGCCGCUUGUGCGGGCCCCCGUCAAUUCCUUUGAGUUUCAGUCUUGCGACCGUACUCCCCAGGCGGCGAACUUAACGCGUUAGCUUCGAUACUGCGUGCCAAAUUGCACCCAACAUCCAGUUCGCAUCGUUUAGGGCGUGGACUAC
rnacentral:misc_RNA from 1 species